GAGGGCAAGAACGGAGGAGCCUUUGCAGGCCGGUCUGAAGGUCUGCACAGUGCUUGACUACAGACUUUCUGGCCUCCUGAAGUCAAAGCCAUUAGUUUUUCCUACUCACUUAAACUUACUGCAUACAAAAAAAGCCUUUCAGUGGUGAACUCUGAUAAAUGUCCAAUGAUGUGGGGCUCCCGCAAUCUUGCAGCGCAUUGUAUCUUCAGCCUUUUGUUUGUGCCAGCCCUAACCUUUGCAUUUUACGGGGCAAAGAGCAGACCAGAAUCAAUUUCUAAAACUUCUGAACUAGCGGACUCUUAACAAAGACAAGUUUCAAUGAGGAUUCCAUCCCAUUUUUACUCCAUGAUUCUUCAGGCAGAACAGAUACUUUAUGAAAAGAACCAGUGAACAACAUCAUAUGAGCCUUUCACAGGAUAAAUGGGUUGGACAGGCAAUUUUGGCUUCUUCUGGGAUCAUGCUCUCCAUUCAAAUAUACAGCUCAAUUAUGUGACUUCCAUACUGAGAAAAUACUUUAACUUUUAAAGUGCACAGCAGCAGUCUGGUCUUAAUAAAAAUGUUUAAAACCCACUCUUAAACUAUAACUCCAAGUUGCAGCUGAACAUGAAACAUCCUCUUACAAACAAUUACACACAAUUUCUGUCAUGCUUUGGAAGAUAUGUAUGUGCACUAGGGAUGUUAAAAAUCAAAACCCCCACAAUUCUAGGUGAAAAAGGGAAAGGCUUAAAACCUUUCAAGAUAUGCUUAGACAGAAAUGCAGUGAGCCUUGUAACUUAACAGCAGGCAUCUGUUUGAAGUAUGUAUAGCACGUAGGUGUAACCUUUGGCUUUAUGUAUUAUAGAAUCUCUUGGAAGAACUGCUACAAUCCAAAACUGGAACAACACAAUCUAUGAAAAUGAUUCAUUCUCAAGGUUUCUCUGUAGAGAAACUUUGUUUUUGUAUGAAGGUUUCCAGUGCCUUUUAAGCUUGAGCAAAUGAGUGAAAAAGGGAGAAACGCUGUCUGGAAGUCUGGUACUCUGAUCAGAAUACUACAGUGAGGCAGUAAAUCUGGUUAUGAAUUAUCCUCCUGUCUAGAGGAAGGCAAAUCCAUGCAUAAGAAGACAUUACUCUCAGCUAAUUGAAAUCUAAAUACAAUUAGAUCUCAUUUGAAAAUGUCCUUUAUACACAGAAGACUAACAAUAGAAAGCAAAAUUGCUGGUGGGAAGGUAAGUGGCCUACUGGUGAGCAUUAAUACCAGAAAUCUACAUCUACCCCCCUAUCUUCCCACAUUUUUCUGUUCCACUCAAUUAUAAAAAGCCAGUGACCUGCUUGAGAAAUAAAAUAUCAACCAGAUGUUUCCUGAGCAAAGACAACUUGUGUUUCCCCUUACGCAUCAUCUUCUGAGAGGCACAACUAGUGACUGCACAUCUGACAUCAUUCACUGUGUUGACUUUGGGUUACUCAGAAUCUUUCCUUUAUUUAACCUUCCAACUCAAAUACAAUAGUUUACAGAGAUCAUAUGGAAAGAAUGGAUUUGAAUGACUAGAAUAUGAUGUGGAAGAAUGGUUUAUAUUCACUCUGCUACAACAAAGCCAUUUGCUGUCACAGUCAUGAAAUAAUAACUUGAAGGGUGGAGGGCUAUCCAUUUUCUCAUACACAUUUUGGCAGGACAAAGUGCUGCAUGUUGCCCAGUAUCAGUCCUCAUGGAAACAGGAGGUGGGUGAGCAGUAAUGUCAAAAAUGAACUUCUUUUGAAGAGCAAUAUUGUACAAAUAGGUUUUUAGAAGAGAUUGUAAUUUUAAAAGAAAACUUAUGUAGGAGACUAGACUUUCUGUAACUCCUGGUGAGCUUUGGAUUAGAUCAUUGAGCUUUAGAUCAGAUGUCAAUAUACUGCCAGAAACUACAGCAGCUUUCUGGUUCUACUUGACUAUCAUGAAAACUUCACUGGUUCCCACUGCUCUGUUCACUGGAAUAGGAUAUUUAAAAUGAGAGGCGCAGUCAUCACGUAAUGGAAAAUUUUCAUUCUUUUUCCUCAAACAACGCUAUAUUCACCAUGGUUCAUUCUGAGAGCACAAGCUUUGAACUCCAUUUGUAGGCAAGCUGGUGGCAACAGCAAGCUAAUCUUCAGGAGCUAUGUGAACAAGCUGCAUGGGAAGUAGGUGCCAUUCUUUGACAUCUGCACACAGCAUUUGUUGGACAACUUUUAGUGCGGAUACAUUUCUGUUCAAGCUAUCCAGAAAAGUUCAUAAUGUAGGUAUAAUUCAUACAAGAUCAAAACUUAAUCAGUUACGAAUAAAGCUAUAAAAUGUUUUUAGAAUAUGUUUUCUGCAUCUGAAGGCUUCACUAUAUCAACACUUUUUUUCCUAGUCAUUUGUACGAGAAGUUACAGCAGACAAAGCUGCAACAGCUUUUCUCUUCCCUGGCAAUACAAGAUAGGUGAAAUAACUAAUGCUUAAAUAAACUGAAUGAAAUGCCACUACAUAUUGAAAUCAGUAUGAAAGACAGUGGGGACAUAAAUUUAACAGAAGAUCUGAUGUUGUAUUCAUCUCACUUCACUGCUUAGUGCGAAUAAAGGAAAAGCUGUUUCCAGUAGCUACUGUUUAAUUGAUUGUGAAUUUUAAUCUGGAAGGUUGCAUACAGCACAAGAAACUGCCUGUGCAAUGGCUUCUAAUAAGGGUACGUGAGCAAAUGCCAUGUAUUCUACAGUCUCAGUGUGAGGUCUGUAGGAAAUGGAGUUUUCAGCAAGACUGACAAUGGAACCAUUCAGCCCCUUGAAUGCUCAGUCUUAAUGUUUCAGCUCACUGCAGACAAACGCGUACUCUGUCUUGCUGACAAGAUAAGGAGAUAAUCAGGUAUUUAUACAUACAGAACACUUCCACUUCCUCUUCUAUUAAACGAAAUUAUGGAAUAGUUCGAGAAAAUGAAGAAAAUUAACUCAUCUGUAUACGAUUCAUCUCUGUGCAGUUACUCAGCUCGCUAGGCACAUAUUCUCUGUAAACUUUGGAACUCUACAUUUCAAGGUAUCUUCAGGUUCACAACAGUUUGUUUUGCUUUUCAGUCUUCUUGAACAAUCAACCCAGCUCCUCCUUUGCUUCAGAUAUAACUUCUAUCCCAAUCCUGUUCAAAAGCAACUCUGGUACUGCUGUUAUUGCUUUGAAUUCCUACAUAUUUAACGCUUAAAAAUGCCUUCUGAAGCUCAAGGUAAUUUUUGGUAACACUGCCUAAAAAGGAAAUUUGAUAAUUGAUAAUGCUCAAUCAAGUAAAACACCGUAUUUUUGACAGAAAAUUCAUUUCUGGAGCUCCAGUAAGUGUAUGGGUACGAAAACAAUGGAAGGUUAAGGAGAAUGAUGUUUCAGUACUGUACUCUGUUGGUGUCUGUUCUUUAUCUGCUGGAAAAAGAUAAAAAUGUCGUGACAGCUGAAUUCAGAGUGGACUGAGAGUUGUCUUGUACCAUAAUAUCCAUUUCAGUGAUAGUCUCCAAGUCAGACUCUUAAAAAGAAGCCUGAACCGCUAAGAAGUUUGCUGUCAGAACACAUGGAGUCCUACUUAAUUCUCAUGAAUCCAACUUAUUCUUCAAAAGUGCUUUAGAAAUAAAACAGCACAUGACAUCAGCCUGUCAUUGUGACCUGCCCAGCAAGGCCAGUCUUAAACAUAAGAAACUGAAAAGAAAAAAGAAAAAACCAUAUAGAUACAGUAAUGAUUUAUUGGAAACACACAAAAUAUAAAGGCAACGACUUCAACCAUUUCUUCUUUAGCAAUAUAAACUUAUUCCAUCACAAGAUUUGUACAGCAACAAGAUUAGAUUUAGUAGAGAUGCAAAAUAUUUUCAAUCCCUGAGACUGAGGCUAUCUCAACAUUGCUGAACUCUGUCCUUCCCCUGCAAAGGUGCUGCAAAUGUAAUUUCCUGCUUGGUUGUGUUUCUAGUGGAUUGCCAUC